GACGAACGCUGGCGGCGUGCUUAACACAUGCAAGUCGAACGGAAAGGCCCUGCUUUUGUGGGGUGCUCGAGUGGCGAACGGGUGAGUAACACGUGAGUAACCUGCCCUUGACUUUGGGAUAACUUCAGGAAACUGGGGCUAAUACCGGAUAGGAGCUCCUGCUGCAUGGUGGGGGUUGGAAAGUUUCGGCGGUUGGGGAUGGACUCGCGGCUUAUCAGCUUGUUGGUGGGGUAGUGGCUUACCAAGGCUUUGACGGGUAGCCGGCCUGAGAGGGUGACCGGCCACAUUGGGACUGAGAGACGGCCCAGACGCCUACGGGAGGCAGCAGUGGGGAAUAUUGCACAAUGGGCGGAAGCCGGAUGCAGCAACGCCGCGUGCGGGAUGACGGCCUUCGGGUUGUAAACCGCUUUCGCCUGUGACGAAGCGUGAGUGACGGUAAUGGGUAAAGAAGCACCGGCUAACUACGU
rnacentral:rRNA from 1 species